GUGCACGCUGGCGGUAGGCCUAACACCUGCAAGUCGCACGGCAGCACAGUAAGAGCUUGCUCUUACGGGUGGCGAGUGGCGGACGGGUGAGGAAUACAUCGGAAUCUACUUUUUCGUGGGGGAUAACGUAGGGAAACUUACGCUAAUACCGCAUACGACCUACGGGUGAAAGCAGGGGAUCUUCGGACCUUGCGCGAUUGAAUGAGCCGAUGUCGGAUUAGCUAGUUGGCGGGGUAAAGGCCCACCAAGGCGACGAUCCGUAGCUGGUCUGAGAGGAUGAUCAGCCACACUGGAACUGAGGCACGGUCCAGACUCCUACGGGAGGCAGCAGUGGGGAAUAUUGGACAAUGGGCGCAAGCCUGAUCCAGCCAUACCGCGUGGGUGAAGAAGGCCUUCGGGUUGUAAAGCCCUUUUGUUGGGAAAGAAAAGCAGCAGGUUAAUACCCCGCUGUUCUGACGGUACCCAAAGAAUAAGCACCGGCUAACUUCGUG
rnacentral:rRNA from 1 species